rnacentral:lncRNA from 1 species
UGCUUUCUCCUGCGCUCUUCCCUGAGACCAGAAAAAUUGCCUGUUUUCAAUUCUCUGAUAAGUGAGUCUUCCCCCAUAAUGAACUAACAAAUAUCUUCAUUAGUGCUUCUCAUUUCCACUUGCAGUUUGCUCAAAAUUAAGCAAUGCAGUGCUUCUGCAGAUGUGCUUUCUAAGCAUCUAAAAUAGAGACAUAUAGGAAUCAAAUUUCCAUUUCCCUACAGAUUAUCUGAUUACAUAGGAUCAAACGCAGCCACUCUCAAUGAUCCAUGCUAAUGGGAGCAGGGGUGGCUUGGGAAAAUGAAAGCCAUUGAGCUCAGAAGCUCUCUUCCCCCAUUUAUUUCAGCCUUCCCACCCAGCCAGCAUUUGACAAGCACCACUAACAAGCAGUGAAAUUGACUGGCUGAUUCCAUCUCUCCAUCCUUUCAAACUCGUGCUAAUGAGCAGGCGAAUCACAAACAGGGAAAAGAGGGAAGAGGCAGGAUGCUCGGAUAAUCCCCCAACUGGAACACCCCUUCUGCAAUCAUUGCAAUCAUAUGGACAUGCACCAGCUGGAUUUAAAAUCGAUUAGAAAGAUUGACACCAAAAGGUAUUUAAAGGAAAAGUUGCCUGAUGUUCUUUCAAUUCCUCCACAUUAUGAAGACUGAUUCCAGUUUAAGGAGAAUUCUAGGCUGCUCCAGUGAGUCCUAGAGUUUCUGAAGAGCCCUCUUUGAGUCUUUCCUGGAUGGGUAACCAUGGUGAGGAGCGUGGUCUCGGUCGUCCAAGCCCCGACUCAACCAGAGCAAAUGUGGAUUCAUGGCUUUCCCAUGUGCUUCUGAGUAAAUUCUGAUUUGACAAAGAUAACCUGCUGCUGAGAAGAAUAAAGGAUCUGAAAAGUUACCGUACAGCGUGAGUCUCUGACUGAGCCCUCUCAGGAUGAUCAGCACUGGCUUCCUCUCUUGCUGCCUCUUUAUGUAAGACAUGCCAUCUCAGACGUGGGGACGGCACCCCUGGACCAAGUCCCCAUGCCUCCACGGAGUCAAAACACAGACCUUUCCUGCUGCACACUCACUUAGGAGCACCAAUAAUCCAGAAGCACUUCCAGAAAUAAAGGUGGAAAAUGAUUCUAGACAGUGCUUCAUAUUCUAUAGCUUGAAAUUUCUUAAAAGAGGCAAUAACACUUACCAAUUUGUAAAAUAUGGAAAAAAAUUCCAUUUCAUAAAAAUGAUAUUAGUGUAACACUGACAAUGGCGAU